rnacentral:rRNA from 1 species
UACGUAGGGUGCGAGCGUUGCCCGGAUUUAUUGGGCGUAAAGGGCGCGUAGGCGGCUCUGCACGUCCGUUGUGAAAUCGCCCGGCUCAACUGGGCGGGGUCAGCGGAUACGGCAGAGCUCGAGCAAGCUAGGGGGCAAUGGAAUUCCCGGUGUAGUGGUGGAAUGCGUAGAUAUCGGGAGGAACACCAGUGGCGAAGGCGGUUGCCUGGGGCUUUGCUG